UAGGGAAUCUUCCACAAUGGACGCAAGUCUGAUGGAGCAACGCCGCGUGAGUGAAGAAGGUUUUCGGACCGUAAAGCUCUGUUGUUGGUGAAGAAGGAUAGAGGUAGUAACUGGCCUUUAUUUGACGGUAAUCAACCAGAAAGUCACGGCUAACUACGUGCCAGCAGCCGCGGUAAUCGUAGGUGGCAAGCGUUGUCCGGAUUUAUUGGGCGUAAAGCGAGCGCAGGCGGAAGAAUAAGUCUGAUGUGAAAGCCCUCGGCUUAACCGAGGAAUUGCAUCGGAAACUGUUUUCUUGAGUGCAGAAGAGGAGAGUAGAACUCCAUGUGUAGCGGUGGAAUGCGUAGAUAUAUGGAAGAAUACCAGUGGCGAAGGCGGCUCUCUGGUCUGCAACUGACGCUGAGGCUCGAAAGCAUGGGUAGCGAACAGGAUUAGAUACCCUGGUAGUCCAUGCCGUAAACGAUGAGUGCUAAGUGUUGGGAGGCUUCCGCCUCUCAGUGCUGCAGCUAACGCAUUAAGCACUCCGCCUGGGGGAGUACGACCGCAA
rnacentral:rRNA from 1 species